UUGCGUAAAAAUCCUUGAAAAAUUUAAAAAAACAUCAAGAUGGGUCUCUCGCCAGAUGCUAAAGAACGUCUCGGAACAGUUUUCGAAAUUGUCAAGACUGCAUUCCAUUAUGGAUUUAUUCCAACAGUUCUUUAUCUCGGUUUUCGCAAAGGACCUGAACCUGGACAACCUCCAUUGAGCGUCUUGAGCCUCUUGUGGCAAUAAAAUUUACCUGAUAGAAAUAAAAAUAGAGAGAAUUUGUGUUAAAAAUGGGAUAAAAUGUUGGAAUUAUGCAUAAAUUGAGUCCCGUUUUGGGAAAACGUGGAUUCCAAAGUUA